rnacentral:tRNA from 1 species
GGGUAGGUGGCAGAGCGGUCAAUUGCACCAGACUGUAAAUCUGGCGCCUCGCGGCUACGCAGGUUCGAAUCCUGCCCUGCCCA